rnacentral:rRNA from 1 species
GAUAACCUACCUAUAAGACUGGGAUAACUUCGGGAAACCGGAGCUAAUACCGGAUAAGAUUUUGAACCGCAUGGUUCAAUAGUGAAAGACGGCCUUGCUGUCACUUAUAGAUGGAUCCGCGCCGUAUUAGCUAGUUGGUAAGGUAACGGCUUACCAAGGCAACGAUACGUAGCCGACCUGAGAGGGUGAUCGGCCACACUGGAACUGAGACACGGUCCAGACUCCUACGGGAGGCAGCAGUAGGGAAUCUUCCGCAAUGGGCGAAAGCCUGACGGAGCAACGCCGCGUGAGUGAUGAAGGUCUUCGGAUCGUAAAACUCUGUUAUCAGGGAAGAACAAACGUGUAAGUAACUGUGCACGUCUUGACGGUACCUGAUCAGAAAGCCACGGCUAACUACGUGCCAGCAGCCGCGGUAAUACGUAGGUGGCAAGCGUUAUCCGGAAUUAUUGGGCGUAAAGCGCGCGUAGGCGGUUUUUUAAGUCUGAUGUGAAAGCCCACGGCUCAACCGUGGAGGGUCAUUGGAAACUGGAAAACUUGAGUGCAGAAGAGGAAAGUGGAAUUCCAUGUGUAGCGGUGAAAUGCGCAGAGAUAUGGAGGAACACCAGUGGCGAAGGCGACUUUCUGGUCUGUAACUGA